rnacentral:rRNA from 1 species
AGGGAAUCUUCCGCAAUGGACGAAAGUCUGACGGAGCAACGCCGCGUGAGUGAUGAAGGUUUUCGGAUCGUAAAACUCUGUUGUUAGGGAAGAACAAGUACCGGAGUAACUGCCGGUACCUUGACGGUACCUAACCAGAAAGCCACGGCUAACUACGU